rnacentral:rRNA from 1 species
CAGCAGCCGCGGGAAUACGUAGGUGGCAAGCGUUGUCCGGAAUUAUUGGGCGUAAAGGGCUCGCAGGCGGUUUCUUAAGUCUGAUGUGAAAGCCCCCGGCUCAACCGGGGAGGGUCAUUGGAAACUGGGAAACUUGAGUGCAGAAGAGGAGAGUGGAGUUCCACGUGUAGCGGUGAAAUGCGUAGAGAUGUGGAGGAACACCAGUGGCGAAGGCGACUCUCUGGUCUGUAACUGACGCUGAGGAGCGAAAGCGUGGGGAGCGAACAGGAUUAGAUACCCCUGUAGUCCCUGUCUCUUAUAC